GUAAAAUGAUAGUUUUGCUUCAACUAGUUUUCCUUUCGGUAGCUUUUGGAGGUAAAUCCAUCCUUUCAGUUAAAGAUGGUUGGGGUACUCUGGGAGUUAAUAACAUGCAGCAGAAUUCUAAAAAUGCCCUUCUUUCUAGGUGUCCAGUCAGAGGUCCAGCUGGUGGAGUCUGGAGGAGACGUGAAAAGGCCGGGGGAAUCCCUCCGCCUCUCCUGUCGAGCCUCUGGGUUUAACUUUGGGGGCUAUGGCAUGCACUGGGUGAGACAGGCUCCUGGGAAGGGCCUGGAAUGGGUGGCCUCCAUAAACUACAAUUCAGCUACAAUUCACUACUUGGAUAAAGUGAAGGGAAGAUUCACCAUCUCCAGG